UAAGGUCUUUUUGGUUCGUUACGAAUUGAUCCAAAUUUCCCAAGUUAUUUUAAGAAAUAAAUGUAUUUGGUAAAACGUCGGCUUUUGCUAUCAAGUCUUAGUUUGACGAUCUAGUAUAUUCUGUACAUUAUGCUAUAUUUUCAAUAACGAUACUGCUUGUAAGCGGAUAUCUUAUACGAGACUGUAGUUUUCUUAAAAUUAAUAAAAAUAUCCUCAUGAAUGAAUCAUGAAUCAUCAUGAAACAUUUUUAUAGAUAUUGUAGAAUCUGCAUAUGUCAUUAUCUGAAAAGGAAUACUAGUUGGAUUGUUAAACUCCAACUAGAUUGAGGCAAUUAAGGAAGCACAACUGAACGAAAACUGUAAAAAGAAUAAAAUAAAAUCAAUAAACUUCAGUUAACAUUGUGAAUUGCUUACACCGCAAAUUCAAGCAUUUAACAUAAGUGAUCGUAAACAAAGUAAUAAAUAAUGGUCCCUUUGGAGAGAUUUAUAAAAAUAAAGAAAUAUUUAUAAGCACAAUAGGGCAAAAAAAUAUUGGGAAACAAAUUUAAACAAGCCAAAGACAUGCUGACACUUUUUAUGGCUUAUUGCUUGUUAGAGAAGCAUGUGUAUAAAAAAAUGGGCCAUCUAAUUGGCUAGCCUGCAUAUUUUACGAUGCUAAUGGCCUGUUGCUCCAUCACUUUGUUUGACAGCCUGAAUGUUCCUCAAGGACAGUCUGACGUUGACAGGAUGUGAUUAAAAUCCCUUAUUCCGUCAAUUGUCAUUUGAUAAAUCAACUGGUUAUUUUUUUUAGGCGUGCUUACAGAUACUCUUAAUAGAUGGAUUGAAAACUAUUUCCGGUCGAAAGUAACAAAGUAGAACUUAAAAAAAAAAUGUAAUAUUUUUUGUAAAAUUAUUGUAACUACUUUAUUCUAUAUUCAUACAUCAUAGAUUUAUCCUUUUUUCUUUUCGCCUGUAUAUGCUGGAUCGUAAGGCUGAACCUCUGCUGUGCCAAUGACCGCAAAUACAAUGGCAGAUAUGAUAAAGAUCACGAAACCCAACCAAAAUACAACGCGCCACUCAUUCAUUGUGGCCUGUUAAAAAGAUACUUUAGUUUAAGCACACUUGUUGAUUGAGCAUCAGCUUACGUUUGGCGUCAAAUAACCGACAACUGGAGGAGAGGCUAAACCUGCAAGAGAGCCAAGUCCAUUGCAAAUCGCCAUUAAGGUGCCUGCAUAGCUUGGUGACAUGUCCAUGGGUGUCAACUUUUGUCCAGAGUAAUAAAAACCCAUUAGAAACAUUGCAAAAGUAAACAAACCAAUUACAAGAAUCUUAUUGCAUCCUGCAUAUGAAGCCAAAACGGUGAAUGCACCAGGUCCAAAGGCAGCUA